GAUGAACGCUAGCUACAGGCUUAACACAUGCAAGUCGAGGGACCGGCGCACGGGUGAGUAACACGUAUCCAACCUGCCCUUUACUCGAGGAUAGCCUUUCGAAAGAACGAUUAAUACCCGAUAUAAAGGAUGGGGAGGCGUUCCACUAGGUUGUUGGGGAGGUAACGGCCCGCCAAGCCUUCGAUGGAUAGGGGUUCUGAGAGGAAGGUCCCCCACAUUGGAACUGAGACACGGUCCAAACUCCUAGGGGAGGCAGCAGUGAGGAAUAGUGGUCAAUGGGCGUUAGCCUGAACCAGCCAAGUAGCGUGAAGGAUGAAGGCUUAUGGGUCGUAAACCUCUUUUAUAGAAGAAUAUGUAUUAUAUGAAUAAGGAUCGGCUAACUCCGUGCCAGCAGCCGCGGUAAUUC
rnacentral:rRNA from 1 species